rnacentral:ncRNA from 2 species
UUGAUUCAUUUUGGGCAAGCGAGGUGAAAUUCCUCCACUGUGCCGCAACCGUAAAGUCGGAAAACCAAAGAUGAA